rnacentral:tRNA from 1 species
UGCGCGGUGCGCUGUGGGGGCGAUUCAGCUACGACCUGUUUGCCGGCGUGCCGCUGUACAAGCCCGCGGGGUUCCAUACCUCCGGCGCGACC